GUCCCCGUGCACCGUUCCCCUGCACCACGGAGGGGGAGAAAUAGAGGGGAGUGGAUGGGGAAAGACAGGUGCAGAAAGGAGAGGGAAGAAGGAAUUGAAAAUGACAACUCUGAAACUCAGUGCUCUGGAUGGAGUAAACAUGGAUACGGGGGAGAAAAACAUCCCACACACCAGGGAAACUCAAAGAGGUCUUCUAAAUAAGGAAAUGGAGAAGAGCCAGUCCAGCUGAUCAGUAGCCUAAAUAUUUUUAAAAUAAAAACACUGCAUGAGCAAGAGCCUCAGCCUUAAUUAAAUGUGUUUUAACUCCAGUAGCACAAUGGGCACUUAACAGCGCCUUGAAGGAGCAGCUAACGGUUUCUCAGAGCAGGGAGUCCUUGAACUGCAUGAAGGCAUAGUAUCCAGUUUGUACUUCCUUCUUUAAAC
ensembl:lncRNA